rnacentral:rRNA from 1 species
GUGGGGAAUUUUGCGCAAUGGACGAAAGUCUGACGCAGCGACGCCGCGUGGAGGAUGAAGGUUUUCGGAUUGUAAACUCCUUUUGCGAGAGAGUAAUACGUGAAAGUAUCUCGCGAAUAAGCACCGGCUAACUCCGUGCCAGCAGCCGCGGUAAUACGGAGGGUGCAAACGUUGUCCGGAAUCACUGGGCGUAAAGAGCAUGUAGGUGGCUUUGUAAGUGAAUGAUUAAAGACCGGUGCUUACCAUCGGGAAAGUUGUUCAUACUGUAAGGCUAGAGGAUAGCAGGGGUAAGCGGAACUUUAGGUGUAGGAGUGAAAUCCGUAGAUAUCUAAAGGAACACCAAUGGCGAAGGCAGCUUACUGGACUAUUUCUGACACUGAGAUGCGAAAGCGUGGGGAGCGAACGGGAUUAGAUACCCUUGUAGUCC